AAGCUGGUUAGGUACCAAAACAGCAUAAACUCAGCUAUGAAGUGCUGUGCUGUCUAUCCCUCUGCUCAAAAUAAUGUUGUUUCUUGCCUAUACACUAACAGCAGUAAGAGACACUUGGUCUCAUGCAU
rnacentral:snoRNA from 1 species